UACGUAUCCAGAGUGUGAGAUGCUAAGGGAUCUAGCCCGAAGCUCACCCGCAACCGACCUCAUAAGACACGGUGCGAACUCUAGCCCGAAAGGGGAAGAUAUAAG
rnacentral:ncRNA from 32 species